CCGGCUCGCGUCGUUCACGUCAAAGAUCCGGCUCUGACACAUUUCGUUCGCGACCGACACAUCACUACUGCGUAUAUAUGAAUGUGGAUCGCAUCAUUGGCUGGACUAUGGGAUAAGGUGGCAUCGUUCUAAUCCCAUACAGGAGCAGUCAGUCACUGACUAACACUGCAAAACAUGAUUGUUAAAGUAUUCAUUUUAAUUUCAAGUCAGGUUAGAUUUUUUCUUUUUUGUGCGCAACGCAGAGACCGUGCCAGCAGUGCGCAAUUGCGCACAGGGCGCAGCUUAGAGGGAACAAUGCCCAUCGGCAAGAAAUUUACAUCAGUCCUUAAAACAGGAUUCAAACCUUCCACUUGCAGAGCUGCUAAAACCUGAACCACAAACUUCACCCUGUACUGAAAAAGUCUUCACUGCUAUUUUUCUACAGAUCAUCACUGAAAACAUUCAAACUGACUCAUCAUGGAGUCGUUUUUCCUUCGAACUACAAACAGGACAUUAAAUGUGUGUUUUAAGACAAAGUCACGCCCACACUGAAAGAAGGAUGUGUGUUUAGCACACGUCCUUAACCAACAGCCUGUUGGUCCAGCUGUGAGUCCGUUACCGUGAACUAUGGAGCGGCAGAUGUGUGCUGUUGGUGCUGGAACUAAGCUGCACACAGCUGAUGUUAGCCAGGAAACAUUAAAGACUGCUAAGGUUACCUUCACACGGAGCUUCACACGGAGACGAUCAGUCAGCAGAAACGGGUAGUUCAGGAAAGAGAAAGUAAAGUUUGAGCAGGAAGGAAACACCCACAGGGUUGUGUAACGUUACCGUUAGAAACUGUCAGUGCUGCAUUCAGGUGCACGUGGGAAACUCCCAAAUCUCUGCUGCAGUAACAUGUUGAUGCUGUGCAUCAGCUCAGCUCCACAAAUGACCUUUAGACUGAGGUCACUUCCGGUCACUGUCCUGACAGAGUCUUCAAAGGCUGAUGACAUCACAGCGACGAAGGCCGCCCUGAUCCGUCUCUCCAGCAGACAAACAUGAUGUGUUUUGGGUUUCAGUCACUAAGUGCCACAGUUUCAUCAUCGCUUUUUAAAGAGGGAACUUCAUCUGACACAUUUUCACAGCUUUGAAGUGGAA
ensembl:lncRNA